rnacentral:rRNA from 1 species
AGUGAACGCUGGCGGUAGGCCUAACACAUGCAAGUCGAACGGCAGCACAGUAAGAGCUUGCUCUUACGGGUGGCGAGUGGCGGACGGGCGAGGAAUACAUCGGAAUCUACUUUUUCGUGGGGGAUAACGUGGGGAAACUUACGCUAAUACCGCAUACGACCUACGGGUGAAAGCAGGGGAUCUUCGGACCUUGCGCGAUUGAAUGAGCCGAUGUCGGAUUAGCUAGUUGGCGGGGUAAAGGCCCACCAAGGCGACGAUCCGUAGCUGGUCUGAGAGGAUGAUCAGCCACACUGGAACUGAGACACGGUCCAGACUCCUACGGGAGGCAGCAGUGGGGAAUAUUGGACAAUGGGCGCAAGCCUGAUCCAGCCAUACCGCGUGGGUGAAGAAGGCCUUCGGGUUGUAAAGCCCUUUUGUUGGGAAAGAAAAGCAGCAGGUUAAUACCCCGCUGUUCUGACGGUACCCAAAGAAUAAGCACCGGCUAACUUCGUG